rnacentral:lncRNA from 1 species
ACUAACGAGCUGUCAACACCGCCACCACCUCUCAGCCUUCCAGUGUACCCGCUGUCUUCCCAAUUCUGAGGAACUUUUCCUGCUGGAUUUGAAACUGGGAGAAUAGGAGCCUAAAGCUACUGGGUGCUACCACCUGAAGUGAGCCUACCAGAGACAGACAUGAGCAUACAUGAAGGAGACAUGGAGAGACACGAAGGCGAGCCUGCUGCCACCAUUUAAGCCCCCAGAUCCUGCCAUUUCAGAAGCCAGAUAUCCCCCAGCCAGUACCACUGUGCUGUGUACCUCCAGACCUGUUGGGUGGUGCUCCCUGGAGUUAGACAACAUGCUAACCUGUGCCAGCCUCUCAGGAGAGACUGGACAAGAAAUGAUGACUCUAUUAGCACAAAUCUGUGACUACUACUUGAAAAACGCCUCAGAGAACAUUCUGUGCUGACAUUGGGCCCAGACCAUUGUUUUAAUAUGUGAAGAACAAAAUGUCCACGUUAUCGCUGUAACUUCUUCCCCCAUCAUCUCCUCACUUCUGUCCACUGGUCCUUUUUUACUCUAUUGCCAGUGUUAUCUCUGGCUGCU